GCGGACGUGGCCAAGUGGAUUAAGGCAGU
rnacentral:tRNA from 2 species